rnacentral:rRNA from 1 species
GUGGGGAAUAUUGGACAAUGGGCGAAAGCCUGAUCCAGCCAUGCCGCGUGUGUGAAGAAGGUCUUCGGAUUGUAAAGCACUUUAAGUUGGGAGGAAGGGCAGUAAGUUAAUACCUUGCUGUUUUGACGUUACCGACAGAAUAAGCACCGGCUAACUUCGUGCCAGCAGCCGCGGUAAUACGAAGGGUGCAAGCGUUAAUCGGAAUUACUGGGCGUAAAGCGCGCGUAGGUGGUUCAGCAAGUUGGAGGUGAAAUCCCCGGGCUCAACCUGGGAACUGCCUCCAAAACUACUGGGCUAGAGUACGGUAGAGGGUAGUGGAAUUUCCUGUGUAGCGGUGAAAUGCGUAGAUAUAGGAAGGAACACCAGUGGCGAAGGCGACUACCUGGACUGAUACUGACACUGAGGUGCGAAAGCGUGGGGAGCAAACAGGAUUAGAAACCCCAGUAGUCC